rnacentral:rRNA from 1 species
CAUCUUUAGUUGCCAGCAGGUUAAGCUGGGCACUCUAGAGAAACUGCCCGUGAUAAGCGGGAGGAAGGUGUGGAUGACGUCAAGUCCUCAUGGCCCUUACGGGUUGGGCUACACACGUGCUACAAUGGCAGUGACAAUGGGUUAAUCCCAAAAAGCUGUCUCAUUUCGGAUUGGGGUCUGCAACUCGACCCCAUGAAGUCGGAAUCGCUAGUAAUCGCGUAACAGCAUGACGCGGUGAAUACGCUC